ACGAUUGUGUGAAUACAUAGCACAUUCGAGGUAGACGCAGAGAACUGAAACAUCUAAGUACCUGCAGGAAGAGAAAGAAAAUUCGAUUCCCUGAGUAGCGGCGAGCGAAACGGGAAAAGCCCAAACCAGCAAGCUUGCUUGUUGGGGUUGUAGGACUCCAAUAUGGUAGUUCUUUCAGAUAGUCGAAUGACUUGGAAAAGUCAGUCAAAGAGGGUAAAAACCCCGUAGACGAAAUGUGGAAGACACCUAGGAGGAUCCUGAGUACGGCGGAACACGAGAAAUUCCGUCGGAAUCCGGGAGGACCAUCUCCCAAGGCUAAAUACUCCCUAGUGACCGAUAGUGAACCAGUACCGUGAGGGAAAGGUGAAAAGCACCCCGGAAGGGGAGUGAAAUAGAACCUGAAACCGUGUGCCUACAACAAGUCAAAGCCCGUUAAUGGGUGAUGGCGUGCCUUUUGUAGAAUGAACCGGCGAGUUACGAUUGCAUGCGAGGUUAAGUUGAAGAGACGGAGCCGCAGCGAAAGCGAGUCUGAAUAGGGCGUUUGAGUAUGUAGUCGUAGACCCGAAACCAUGUGAUCUACCCAUGUCCAGGUUGAAGGUGCGGUAAAACGCACUGGAGGACCGAACCCACGUACGUUGAAAAGUGCGGGGAUGAGGUGUGGGUAGCGGAGAAAUUCCAAACGAACUUGGAGAUAGCUGGUUCUCUCCGAAAUAGCUUUAGGGCUAGCCUCGGAAUUGAGAAUGAUGGAGGUAGAGCACUGUUUGGACUAGGGGCCCAUCUCGGGUUACCGAAUUCAGAUAAACUCCGAAUGCCAUUCAUUCAUAUCCGGGAGUCAGACUGUGAGUGAUAAGAUCCAUAGUCGAAAGGGAAACAGCCCAGACCACCAGCUAAGGUCCCAAAAUAUAUGUUAAGUGGAAAAGGAUGUGGGGUUGCACAGACAACUAGGAUGUU
rnacentral:rRNA from 1 species